UAUAAGAGAUUUUGAAUUUAUGUUUGUACUGUUUGACCACUCGUCUUAUUCAAAAAAUUUUGGAAUUAUUAUUUUUUUUGAUUUACUUUAUUACCCAAAGUACUUUAAGCACAACUUUUCGUCUUGUAUAUUUGCACAAAUUUUUUGAAUAAGACGAGUGGUCAAACAAUACAAACAAAAACUCAAAAUCCCUUAUA
rnacentral:pre_miRNA from 1 species